GCGCUGCUCUCUUUGCUCUCUUUGUCUCCAUCUCAGGUGAAUUGUAGCCAUGUGAUCAAACGCCCAAGCCUCUAUCCAUUAACCCUCGUAAAUGGUGAAAAAAAAUGGGGGAACAAAAAGCAGUUUUGUACUGCAAACAUAGGGGAGAAAAAAAAUUUGAUAACAGAGAGCGAUGUGUGCGUCUUUCUCCCCUUAUGUCCGAGCAAAGACACAAGUCGCGCACACAGAAAAUCCUCUGCGGCGGAGGGGACACAUGGAUCUUUCUGUUCCUCUAGCGGCCGCCUUGACUUUGUUUCUCACCUGACUUACCUGGAUUUGGGCCUCCGCGGUGCUGAUGCGCCGCAUUUUGAAGGGGGAUGCUGAUGGAGGGUGGCGCGGAUGCGGCACCCCACAGAGGUGAGGAUUUCUGUGAGGCCUCCCAGUCUGUGGAGGUCUGAGCGAGAAGCAGUUGGGGUCAGAGCUUUGGCUCGGGGAAUUCCAGCUUUUUCGCUCGACUAUCAACACAAGCGGAUCUCAUGUGACUCCUCAGCUCGUUUGUUUCUGGCGUUCAUCUCCAAGCCUUCCUUCAGACAAACAGCUAGAGCACGAACGGACCGGGCCUUUCUGAGAUCUUACGGGUUGAGAUUUUGGUUCUGUCAUAUCAAAAUUGUACACUUGAUGGAAAAGGGGGGGGGGGGGGGGGGGGUCAAUGGCUGCAGGUGUUUUCUGUCUUAAUCACUUGUCUUGUAGGGUCCCUGAGUUGUGAUGAUGCGGUGACACGCCAUCCAUGCAGACGAAUGAGGAAGGAUUCCACUAUCUGACCUCUGUCACUCCCUUUUUUUGCCUAUUUUCACCCAGUGAAUUAGUGCAGCUGCGCCACACUUAAAUGGGUGCCCCUCUUUUUUUCCUCCAAGAGUGUAUGUGACCGACCAUGAAUCCUCUCUUUGUGCUCUGUCUGUAGAGCCCCCCCCCCCCCCCCCCCUCAUCCCCUCCUCCCCCUCCUCUAUAGUUUCUUGCCUUCUUCAUCUUUUCUAUUUGGGAAAGAGGGGCUUCGGUUGCGAUGGCGGCAGCACUGGUGAGGUGGUGGUGGUGGUAGCGAUGGUGGUGGUGGCGGCGGGGAGGAGAAGGUGGAGGGAGGGGUAACUUGUUGGACCACAUUCUUGUGCAGCUGUGGAGGCUGGUGGAGAGUGGGGGUGGAGGGCAGAGCGGGAUCAUCAUUGCAUUGCAGGGCAUCAUGAAUGGUCUAUUGUUCGCUGGUUGGCUCUGUCCACGUCUCUGUGCCACAACUUCAGGACGAAAUGUGAUGCAAAAAGCCAGAUAUGAGGAUCGAAAGCUUAAAAAAAAAAAAGAAUUU